rnacentral:rRNA from 1 species
ACCCAAUAGAUACCCUGGUAGUCCACGCCCUAAACUAUGUCGACUGGUUGUUGGGGGUUUGACACUCUCAGUAAACGAAAGCUAAACGCGUGAAGUCGACCGCCUGGGGAGUACGGCCGCAAGGUUAAAACUCAAAGGAAUUGACGGGGACCCGCACAAGCGGUGGAUUAUGUGGAUUAAUUCGAUGCAACGCGAAAAACCUUACCUACCCUUGACAUGUCCUGAAGCCUGGAGAGAUCCGGGUGUGCCCGAAAGGGAACGGGAACACAGGUGCUGCAUGGCUGUCGUCAGCUCGUGUCGUGAGAUGUUGGGUUAAGUCCCGCAACGAGCGCAACCCUUGUCAUUAGUUGCUACAUUCAGUUGGGCACUCUAAUGAGACUGCCGGUGACAAACCGGAGGAAGGUGGGGAUGACGUCAAGUCCUCAUGGCCCUUAUGGGUAGGGCUUCACACGUAAUACAAUGGCG